rnacentral:rRNA from 1 species
GGCGAACGCUGGCGGCGUGCUUAACACAUGCAAGUCGAACGGAAAGGCCCUGCUUUUGUGGGGUGCUCGAGUGGCGAACGGGUGAGUAACACGUGAGUAACCUGCCCUUGACUUUGGGAUAACUUCAGGAAACUGGGGCUAAUACCGGAUAGGAGCUCCUGCUGCAUGGUGGGGGUUGGAAAGUUUCGGCGGUUGGGGAUGGACUCGCGGCUUAUCAGCUUGUUGGUGGGGUAGUGGCUUACCAAGGCUUUGACGGGUAGCCGGCCUGAGAGGGUGACCGGCCACAUUGGGACUGAGAUACGGCCCAGACUCCUACGGGAGGCAGCAGUGGGGAAUAUUGCACAAUGGGCGGAAGCCUGAUGCAGCAACGCCGCGUGCGGGAUGACGGCCUUCGGGUUGUAAACCGCUUUCGCCUGUGACGAAGCGUGAGUGACGGUAAUGGGUAAAGAAGCACCGGCUAACUACGUGCCAGCAGCCGCGGUGAUACGUAGGGUGCGAGCGUUGUCCGGAUUUAUUGGGCGUAAAGGGCUCGUAGGUGGUUGAUCGCGUCGGAAGUGUAAUCUUGGGGCUUAACCCUGAGCGUGCUUUCGAUACGGGUUGACUUGAGGUUGGUAGGGGAGAAUGGAAUUCCUGGUGGAGCGGUGGAAUGCGCAGAUAUCAGGAGGAACACCAGUGGCGAAGGCGGUUCUCUGGGCCUUUCCUGACGCUGAGGAGCGAAAGCGUGGGGAGCGAACAGGCUUAGAUACCCUGGUAGUCCACGCUGUAAACGGUGGGUACUAGGUGUGGGGUCCAUUCCACGGGUUCCGUGCCGUAGCUAACGCUUUAAGUACCCCGCCUGGGGAGUACGGCCGCAAGGCUAAAACUCAAAGGAAUUGACGGGGCCCCGCACAAGCGGCGGAGCAUGCGGAUUAAUUCGAUGCAACGCGUAGAACCUUACCUGGGUUUGACAUGGAUCGGGAGUGCUCAGAGAUGGGUGUGCCUCUUUUGGGGUCGGUUCACAGGUGGUGCAUGGCUGUCGUCAGCUCGUGUCGUGAGAUGUUGGGUUAAGUCCCGCAACGAGCGCAACCCUUGUUCACUGUUGCCAGCACGUUAUGGUGGGGACUCAGUGGAGACCGCCGGGGUCAACUCGGAGGAAGGUGGGGAUGACGUCAAGUCAUCAUGCCCCUUAUGUCCAGGGCUUCACGCAUGCUACAAUGGCUGGUACAGAGAGUGGCGAGCCUGUGAGGGUGAGCGAAUCUCGGAAAGCCGGUCUCAGUUCGGAUUGGGGUCUGCAACUCGACCUCAUGAAGUCGGAGUCGCUAGUAAUCGCAGAUCAGCAACGCUGCGGUGAAUACGUUCCCGGGGCU